rnacentral:rRNA from 1 species
AGUGAACGCUGGCGGUAGGCCUAACACAUGCAAGUCGAACGGCAGCACAGAGGAGCUUGCUCCUUGGGUGGCGAGUGGCGGACGGGUGAGGAAUACAUCGGAAUCUACUCUGUCGUGGGGGAUAACGUAGGGAAACUUACGCUAAUACCGCAUACGACCUACGGGUGAAAGCAGGGGAUCUUCGGACCUUGCGCGAUUGAAUGAGCCGAUGUCGGAUUAGCUAGUUGGCGGGGUAAAGGCCCACCAAGAAGACGAUCCGUAGCUGGUCUGAGAGGAUGAUCAGCCACACUGGAACUGAGACACGGUCCAGACUCCUACGGGAGGCAGCAGUGGGGAAUAUUGGACAGUGGGCGCAAGCCUGAUCCAGCCAUACCGCGUGGGUGAAGAAGGCCUUCGGGUUGUAAAGCCCUUUUGUUGGGAAAGAAAUCCAUCUGGUUAAUACCCGGGUGGGAUGACGGUACCCAAAGAAUAAGCACCGGCUAACUUCGUGCCAGCAGCCGCCGUAA